rnacentral:piRNA from 1 species
UUNCACUCUGCCAGCACACCUCAGUUUUC